UGCAGCUUUUAAGUCCGAAUUUUCAGCUGUG
rnacentral:piRNA from 1 species